GACAAAAAGACUAGAACUGCAGGGGGGGGGGGGGGGAGGGAGGGGAGGAAGGAGUCACAAAUUUUACACAGAGCACCUCUAACAAUAUAAACAAGGAGUUAUAGUGGUAGCAAAAAGAGAUGAAUACUUUUAAAUCAAAGCUACUUUUCCAUUUCCUGUCCUAUUUCCAUCUCACAUUUUACCUGUUUGCUUAAACAGGUGAUUAAAAUGGAACUAGGCACCACCAGUCCUACAGCCCUAAAAAAAAAAUUAAUCAUCUGAGAGGGAAAGCAUGAGCUGGAGCCAGAAUAUCUGCCAGUCAUAUGCCAGGAGCCACACCCCAUAAAUGUGGACUUCUCAUGUGGACUAGUUUCUACCAUUACCAGACUCCAAUGUUUGCUGCAUCAAAAGACAAACAAAUAAACAAAAAGGCAGUAUUUUUUCUUAGAAUGUUAGUAAACUUGGCCUCUUUCACAUACAUACACAUAAAAAGGAGACAAAGUAUGUCAAAAACAUUUGCCAACUCUUAAAGCAAAAAUUCAGCAGUCCAAGAAAAAUUGUUUAAUACACCAAAUGUUUUAAAUUUCAAGCACAAAAGCAAAUUUUACUUACUAAGGUAAAAAGAAAAAGUGUGGUUUUCUCCCACUAAAGACAAAUAUGUCUUUCAACUUUAAUGGCAUGCCAUAAGAGCACAUUCUUAUAGUCAUCUAUUUUAAAAUAUCUUAUUUUUCCCCUAAACUUCAAUAUAUUGAAAUGUUUGUCUUUUCUUUACAAUCACAUUCAUCUUUCAAAGUUUUUUUUUUCCUUUUUAUUGAUCAUUAAUUAAAAUUUGUCUUUGCAAAUUGUUUAAAAAGCAACUUCAAAAGAUCAAAAUGAGGAUCUUCUACUCUUGGUUUAAUUCUUUUGGGAAGGUAAACUAGGCCAUCUUUUACCUCAAUUCUUAUCUACAAACUGAGGCCUGGGAAAGACCUUAGCUUAAAAAGACCAAGGUCCCCCAAUGCAUUCAUUUGCACAGCUCUCCCUCAUUUAAAUCCAAGUCACUUCCAAGUUAAGACAUCACCCUCCUGAUACUAAGGGUUUGCUUCAAGAAUGAAGGACAACAAAAGAAAACAUUCAAUUUAACAUAUCAUUUGUUAAGCAUUUCUUAUUUGUUAGAUAUGUGCUGGGUUCCAGAGAUGGAAAGGUGGAAAAUGACAAAUCCCUUGACUAUGACUUCAAUAGAUAAAAUGUGAUAAAGAUCCAACUAAGUGCUAUUAAAAAAUUUAAAGUUUUCAAAUGACUUUUAGAGCUAGAAGUGACAUUAUAAAGAUCUUCUAGUCCCAGUCUCUCAUUUUAUAGAUGAGGAACCUUAGAGAAGGUAAGGGAAUUGUCAAAAAUCACUGGGCUGGAGGAUAUCAAAGGUUUAUGAAAAGAGGUGGUGAUGGGACCAGCCUUAAAGAAAGCUAUUUCUAUGAGUAGAAUUGAACUUCAAGGAAUUGGAAAAGGACAAUAAGUAAGUUGGUGCAUUCAAGGUAAGAGUAGUCAAAUAUUUAGGUUAAAAAUUCACUGUUGGUGUUAUAUCUAUAUAAAUCUUCCCAAUAAAUUAACUUUGCAAAAAUGUGCAAGCAUAUUGGGGAAAAAAAUGAUCCUUUGGUAUGACUUCACCAAAACAAAAAAUACUCCACCUUGCUCAUUUGAUUAUAAAGCAUUAUCCAGAGAUUACACAAUUUAUCUAUCCUUAUCUUGACCCAAUUUUCCCAGAAAUCCAUUUAGAUAAAUACAUACAUGAAAACUUUUUUUUUUUUUUUUUUUUUUUUUUGCUGAGGCAAUUGGGAUUAAGUGAGUUGCCCAGGGUAACACAGAAAGGAUUAAGUGUCUAAGGUCACAUUUCAACUCCGGGUCUUCCUGAAUUCAGGGCUGGUGCUCCAUCCACUGUGCCACCUAGCUGCUCAUAGACUACUUUUUAAACACUUACAGAAGAAUAAGUAAAACAAAAAUAUUUAUACAUUCAUUGACACCCCUCUAAUUCAGGGAUUUAAACCCUGGUUUAAGAUGGAAAGGGGUCAGCAGCUUGAUAACAGAGGUACUAGACUUCCCUGAACACACCCUAUAACAGACACAAUGAAUGCCUCCCUCAACUCAUACUAACAUAUUCAGUCUAGUUAUGUCACUUAAUUUAAAAAAUUUCAGCAUUAAUAAAGAUCUCAAAACAAACAUAAUCUAACUUAAAAUGAACUCCAGGAAUAAAGAUCCCAAGACCUUCUGAAGUAGUCCAUCCUACUUUCUCCAUCAUUUUCCUAGAUUUCUCUCCUUGAUACUCUUUCUUUUUUUUGGAGCACCAUUUUCUCACCCUGUUCUCCUCCUUUCUACAUCUAACUAAUCUCUUUGCUAACUCCCUCUUUCAGAUCAUGCCCUCUAACAAUAGGUGUGUUUUAGGGUUCUAUCCUCAGCUCUCUUGUCGCUCUAUCCUACUUAGUGACCCCAUUAUUUCUCAAAGAUUUAAUUAUUUUAAUGCUGAUGAAUCCUCAAAUCUCCCAACUACUUUUCAAUUGGAUCUCCAGCAGACAACUUAAACAUGUCUAAGACUAAACUUUUUUUCCUCCUAAAACCUUCACUUACAACCUUCCCUAAUACUGUCGAGAAUACUAUCAUCCUUCCAGUUUCCUAGGCUUACAAUUUAGAUGUUGUCCCCAAUUCUUUACUCUUAUGUCUUAUAUCCAAUGUGUUGCCAAUAUCUGACGAUGCUUUUGCAACAUUUGUGGAAUAUAUCUCCUCCUUUCCCCUGACACUACCUCCACCCUGAUAAAGGCUCUUAUCAAUUCACACCUACACUAUUUAUCAUAGUCUGCUGUCGGCCUUAAUCAAGCCUUUCGUCAUUCCCAUCUCAAUCACCUACCAAAAUCAAAGUGGUUUUUCCGUAAAGCCCCAGUUUGAACAUGUCAUAUCCAUACUUGGCCACUAGGUGGUGCAGUGAACAGAUGCUGGGCCUUGAUUCCCCCAAAUCUAAAAAAAAAUCUAUCACUAGCUCCUCCCCACAAAAAAAGCAAAAAUUGGCAGACAGACAAAAAUAUGUAAUGUAUAUAUUAUUGAUAAAACCUUCAUGCCAUACCAAAGUACUAAGAAUCACUGGUUGGAAAACAAUGGUUUCACAGAAAUUGGUAGCCAGAAGAGACCUUGUAGCACAUUUAACAGAACAAGAAACUAAGGCCCAAGGAAAUUAAAAGACUUGCCUAUAAUCAAACUGUUAAGUAUCAGAGUCAAGAUUGGAAACUCCUUUUGAUGAUACUCAAUUUUACCAUCUGACUGCUAUACCCAUUUCCUUUUAUCUUCUGUCACCCCAACCCCAGAUUGGAUCAUAAUUCCCUUUGAAUUAAUCACCCUAACAAAAGCACCUUCUUUGUCAGCACUACAAAUAUUUGAUUCAUGUUUAGGAAUGUGUGCUUCAUAGACUUCAUACAUAUGAAAUAAUAUAUGUAAAAUACUGAGCAAACCUUAAUGCUACAUUAUAUCAGUGUCUAAAGGUGACCUCCACAUGGUUUACUAAAAUGAAUUGCUAAACAAAACAAAACAUAAAUGCUUUAAAUGACAAUUACUUUAAGAACAACUUUGUACUCUACUGAUGUACUCUAAUAAAAUUCUGACUUCCUGUAAAUGCAAACUAUAGUUUUCCAAGAAAACUGUACAAAAUCAGAGAAUAUGUAACUCCUGCUUAACUGUUACUUAAAAAAAAAAAAAAAAAACUUAAGAGCGUGUAAGAAUCUUAGAACACACAUCUUUUUGUAGAUGAAGACCCAAAGACCCAAAAUGGUGAAAUGAUUUUCUAAAGAUCACAUGGAAAUAAGGAGAAGCAAGGAUUGGAAGUCCACACCUUCUGACUAACUCCAGUACACAUUAUAAUACAAUUCUGUUCUUCCAUAAAAUCACAUACACGAUUAAAAGUUGGUCAAGUGCAUCCAUUUUAAAGAUGAAAAAUUUGAGAUCUAGAAAGCAUAUAUGUAACUUCUCCCAAAGAAGCAACUAAGCUAGUUCCAAGCCAGAUCUUCUACACUUCUUUAAAAAACUAAAUGAUAAACGAUAUCACUUGCUUUUUAGUAUUUCUACCCAUAAUCAAAGGUCAAUAGCCUUUAGAUCCACUGAUACCCAUAUUAAAAUUACUAAUCCUAUCAGAAAUGCCUCAUUCAAAAGUCCCAUUCUCAUUUCUUCCAGUCUAAAGCUAUACAAAAUCAAGACAGAAGGAAAUACUUGAAGAUAAGAGUUUCAUCUCUUAUUGAUACUGUUUGUUAUAUUCUAAGACCAGUAAUUUAUUGCUGAGAUUGAGCUCUUUAUUUAAAUGUGAUGUUAAAGUCAAAGGACUGAAUAAUUUGUACAACACAAGCAUUUCUAAAUAUCUGAUCUACAGUGGAGAAAAGGGACUGAGAAAAAUGGAGGGAAAGAUAAUAGAAAGGAAGAAGUACCACUGAAUACCAAAUAUGAUCUUACUACAGACCUGCCCUAAGAAAUAUUGAGUAUCCUAAACUUCGGGGGGAAAAAAAAUCACAAAAGGUAUUUUUCCUCAGCCUCAAAGCUCUCAAAUAGUCAACAGCAACAGUAAAAGUAAAAUUAGCUAGCAUUAAUAUAGCGCUUUAGAGUUUACUGUCAGUAUCAAGUGCCUACUAUGUGCCAGGCUAAACGCUGGAGACACAAAGGGUGAAAAAAAAAAAAAAAAGCCGUUCCGGCUCUCUAGAAAAUUCUAACAAUCCUGGUAAAGCCUACCAAUAACUUUAUCUCAGUGAGGGGGGAAGUGAGGGGAAAGAGUUUUACAAUAUGUUCUACAAUACAAUGUGCCUACAAAAAUAUAAAAAGAGAGCUAUCUAUUUCAGAUGUGAAAAUUUAAAAUAACACAAGGUACCCAUUUCCUAAGUUCUAGGCUAUAAAAGUCUGGAACUUUGCUUAAGAAAUUAACUUGAAAUAGUUUUGUUUAAAUACAAUUUCAAGCAAAUGAAAUGCAGUAGCACAGACUUAAAUUCCUAGUUACAUCCUUGGAGGUUUUUCCAAUGUAAUCAACUGAGACUGGAAACAACUGAGGGUUAUUUUUUUUUUUUUUCCUGUCAGAAACAAAGUUAUAUGGGGAAGGAGAGGGGGAGGAGACACUAGGGACGGUCCUAAAACCAAACAUGCCCUCAGUUUAAGAUUUUUAAGCCAGCGACAAAAAAGCAACAAAACGAGUCCGGUCACGUGAUAAUCGAGGAACAGGGCGGAUAAAGUUAUUUCUCCAAAGAACUAGGGUCAUGAGACAGGGCGUUCUCUGCCCCCACCCCCACUCCAAACUUCCCGGGAGAACGCUUAAAAUUCUCGUCCCGUCUCACCGAAUUGGAAGAAAACAAACCCCAAACUAACAAGAAAACCCAGUAUUCCAGGGACAUCGAGCCAAGCCAGCAGCAAGGGGGUGACCAGCCCCCAGCCUCACCCCCCCAGGAGAAAAGCGUCAGGCUGUCGGACGUCAGAGGUGAAAGGCACCCUGGGGUCCCCCCUCUGGACACCAAUGAGUGACGACGCCCCACCCCCAAUCCGGCUUUUCCGGGAUUUUGGUCAAUUACAGCUGCACUGCCUAGCUUCAAUGAACUGAAUCAAUCACUGGAUACUUCAGGCUGACGCGGGCAACUUGCUCACCUGUCCGCAGGAAGACGCUUCUUUUAGGGGUUACAACCCGCGCGAGGCACGGCUUCUCUUCACAGUGGGUGGGGAAGAGAGGAAGAAGAGGAUUGGAGAGAAAGAAGAGACACUUAACCAAUCAAAGGUCAUAGAAUAUAUUCCCCUCAGCCAAGGCGAGACGCAAGCAAGAUUGGGAAGCGGGGCAUGCGCAGUGCUAUCUAGACUUUUACUCCUUCCUCUCCGUAGGAGCUCUUUCUGCUUCCUUUUAGUUCUGAGGUCAAUGUUUGGGUUCCCUCCUGUUCCUUCCCGACAGUGUCAUAUCUCUCAGGAAAAGGAAUCUACCUUUUAUUUAACCCAAGAUCCCAGAUAACACUUUUAAGGUAAACGUAAUAAAGUCCACUCCACGACAUGAAAUGUCUUAUUCACCAACAUAAGGGAAGCUCCCUGAGGACAGGGUUUGUCUUGUUUUGUUUUUGUUCUUGAUUUAGUUCCUUAGCCGUGCGAGAUGCUUAAUUAAAUGUUUAUUGGACACCUUGCUAGAAAUCUGGAUUUUAACUAGAUGAAGGAAAAAGAAAGCUUCUUAUAUUUAAAAUUGGUUGGGAAACAUUUUAUCUCAAGCUCAUUCUGUGGAAGGAGAAAAUGUUUAUAAACAUUUCUCAUUAUCUGAUUGAAAAGUCCUACAAAUACAGGCACAAAGUUAGAACUUGAUUUUGGGGGAAAAUAUUUGUUGGAAGCAUCUCAGUAUUGAAUCCUGACUAAGGUCAGGUGUUCUUAACCUUGAGUUCAUGAACUUAGAAAAAAACAUAUAAAUUAAAAUAUAACUAGUUUCUUUUGUAAUCCUACAAAGAAAAGGUUGAAAGUUAGAGAUCAACAAUCGUUUAUUAAUAUGCCAAACCUGGGGAUAUAAAGAAAGGGGGGGAGAGAGGGGUGGGCGAGGGCGGAGAAGACUAGCACUGAAUCUCAAGGAACUCAUAGUCUAAUGGGUACUAUUGGAGGGGAAACGUGGAAGAGGCAGAAGGUUACGGAAUUCAGAGUCCAUGUAGACGGCAUUGGUCAUGGCAAAGAGAAGUUUAAGAAGAAGGUACUUUCAUUCUCAGAGUAGGAGAAGGGAGGAGAGUACGGGAGAUGAUAUCAAGAACUUUUAAGAUGGAAGAAGAGAAGUGGGAACUCAUGGCAAAAAAAAAUGGCAUCAAUUUUAUAAUAAACAAAGUCUCAACUGAAAGAAGGGGCUAAAGGUAUUGGGAUACGGGAACCACCUGCCAGUGGCUGCUGGAGGUCUAACUCAAACCUGUAGAAUGGAUGUCUUCAUGUGAGAGGAUGAUGAUGAUACAAGGAGACUGAGAGGCAGUUGCAUUGUCUGACCUCUCUCCUCUUCCCUCUUGUUUCCAAUUUAUUUCAUUCCCAAUCCACACGGAACAUCUUGUGGCUGCUUUGCAACUCCUUCAAGUUUAUGAUUCACAGCUGUGGAGGCUAUCAGAGAAUUGACUUCCUCCUUCACCUAGGCAUGGUCCUGAAAAUAAGGGAACUGAAAGAAGGGGCUAAGGGAAGUGUGGAAUGCUUAAGAAGACACAGGAAUGUUUGAAAUAGCUUUCUGGAAAAGUGAAAAGGGAAUCAAUUAGGGAGGAAGAAGAUGGUUAUGCUGCAGUCAAGGAACAGUUGAAGUUAGAUUACAUGAAAUUAUAGUAUACUCAGUCAUCAAGGUUGUGGAUUGCUUUUAAUAAUGGACUAUUUUGGGAUCUUCAACUAAAUAUUGUUAUAGGGAACACCCAGAUGAGUAGCACCUGCAGGUCAGCACUAUCACGCUACAUUGUAGCUUCAGAGAAUUGCAUAAAACACCGAGAAAUUAACUGAUUUAUCCAGGAUCACAUCAUAAGUGUGUGUCUGAAGCAGGACUUGAAUCUAAGCGUUCUUGGGUCAAAGCUCUCCACUACAACCAGCUAUUUUUCAGUUUACCCAUGUGUUUUGAAUAUUGCAGUAAUUGAAUUCUUUCAGUUCGUUAAGACAUAGUUUUAUAGUUGAAUAAAAAAAUUGAAUAAAUAAAAAUAAAAAAAUUAUUUUAUUUUGUCAGUUCAGCUCUAAAUAUUUUAGAAAUGACAUUAUAGCCAGCCCUUUGACCACUGUAAACCUCAAUAAAUAUUUAAUAAAACAAAAAAAAAAACAUAAUCCACUGAAUUUGCCACCUCACCCUCUUGAAAAAAAUGUUCUAAUUGAAUAAAAAUUAAGUUGCUUUUAAUAUAGAAA